rnacentral:rRNA from 1 species
UCCGUAGGCGGUGCGGCAAGUCGGGGGUGAAAUCUCUGGGCUUAACUCAGAGGCUGUCUCCGAAACUGCCGUGCUCGAGUGUGGGAGAGGCGAGCGGAAUUGCAGGUGUAGCGGUGAAAUGCGUAGAUAUCUGCAGGAACACCCGUGGCGAAGGCGGCUCGCUGGACCAUUACUGACGCUGAGGGACGAAAGCUAGGGGAGCAAACAGGAUUAGAUACCCUGGUAGUCCUAGCCCUAAACGAUCAGGACUUGGGGUGUCUCCCGUUCGGGAGACGUCCCGGAGCUAACGCGUUAAGUCCUGCGCCUGGGGAGUACGGUCGCAAGACUGAA